rnacentral:rRNA from 1 species
UAUACAAAGAAACUAUUAAGGAUAAUUAGCUAUAUAUUAAAGAUAUUAGAUUGUAUUCUAAAUCUAAGAUAAAUUUUAAUAAAUAAAUAAAGUGAAUUGAAAUAUCUUAAUAACUUUAAAAACAAAAAUCAAACGAGAUUCUAUGUUUAAUUAAAAAUUAAAAAUAGAAAAGCUUAUAAGUAAAAUGGAUUAAAAUCUGUUUGAAUAUAGGGGAACCUUCCUCUAAAGCUAAAUAUAAUAUAUAAGCAAUAGAGAAAAGUACCGUGAGGUAAAAUUUGAAAUAGUAGUUUUAUAAGCAGCUCAAAUAAAAUUUUAAAUAAAUAAUAUGAGUGUACCUUUUGUAUAAUGGGUCAGCAAGUUAAUAUUAGAAGCAAGCAAAUAAAUAAAGAUUUUGCCUAGAUAAACCAAUUAUGAAAAAAUGAUAAAGUUUCUAAUUUUAGACCCGAAGACUAGUGAUCUUACUAUGGUCAGGAUUAUAAAAGUCCGAACGGGUUAAAAUAACAAUGAGCCGUUAUAAAUAGCCCUAGUAGAAAUAAAAUUUCUGCUUUAUAUCAUCCCACUAUAUAGUGGUUUUUGUCUAAAUGGAUAGUUAUAUUAACUAUUUAGGGAGAAGUCUUUAUAGACUCUGUGUAUGUCAAAAGGGAAACAGCCCAGAACAAGAAUAUAAGGUUCCAAAAUUAUAGUUAAGUGAAAUAAAGGAUGUUUUUUUCAAAAACAAUCAGGAAAUAGGCUUAGAAGCGGCCAUUUUUUGAAGACCUCGUAACAGAGCACUGAUUAAUUAAUUUAGAAAAGAUCACCGAAGAUUUAACGGAUCUAAACAAUAUACCGAAAUCUUGUACUUAUAUAUAUUUAUAUAAAUAUAUAUAAGGGGUAGCGGAACAUUGGAUAAAUUUUAGAUUAUUUCUUUUUAAGAAAUAAAAAUAUAUAAUAUAUAUAAAAUAAUCCAAGAGAGAAUGCUGACAUGAGUAACGAAAAAGGAAUAAAUUUCCUCGCCUUAAGCUUAUGGUAUUUUAUUUAAAUUUCGGUAUCUAAGAGAAAAGAUAUAUAAUAAUAUAUUAUAUAACCCAAAUGGGUGAUAAUCGAUGGAAACAAGUAAGAGAUGAUAAUUUGUAUAUAAGACCUUUUAAUAGUGAUAAAGGUUCUGGAAACUAGAGCAAUGAAAAAAAGAUCUCACUUAAGAAAUUAAGUUACUAAACCGUACCUAGAUACUAACACAAGUAAGCAAGUAGAGAAUACGAAGGCGUUUGAGUGAACAAUCCUUAAGGAACUCGGCAAAUUGACUUCCGUAACUUUGGGAUAAGGAGAGCCAUUAUUCUUGAUAAAUAAAAAUUUAUUUUUAUUAAUAUAUCAGGUAAAUAAGAGGAAGCAUAAAAUAAUGUUGUACGACUGUUUAAUAAAAACAAAGCACUCUGCAAAGAUAAAAUAUCAAAGUAUUGAGUGUGAUGUCUGCCCGAUGUCGGCUGGAUAACGGAUUUUCUUAAUAUAAAAUUUAGGUUUUGAUGGAUACCCCGAUUAAUGGCAUGUACCUAUAAGGGUCCAAAGGUAGCGAAAUUUCUUGGCCGUUAAAUGCGGUCCUGCAUGAAUGACGUAACGAUACAACAGCUGUCUCGAGGAUUGACUCAGUGAAAUUGAAAUAGCAGUGAAGAUGCUGCUUACCUCUAGGUAGACGAGAAGACCCUAUGCAGCUUUACUGUUACUAAUUAAGAAUAUAAUAUAAUAAUUUUUAGAGUAUAAGGUAAUUGUUGAUAAAAUUGAAACACCUUUAAUUGUUUAAUUGUAUUCUUUAUGAUUGGAAGGCAGUUUAUGCGGGGCACAGAUCCCAUAAAAAGUACCUGGGUAUAUCCAAAGUUCAUUUUGUAAAUUUGUAAAUUUUAAUUUACAAAAAUAAUUUAUAAAUGUUUUUAUACUUUAUUUUUUUUUUUAUUUUGUUAUUAAUUAUUAAUAAUUAUCCAGUUAUUAUUGUAUUAAAUACGUUUUUAUUUUUAUAUUUAGGUAAGAUUUUAACUAUAUGGUAAAUAGAUGUAUAUUAAUAAUUAAUCAAAAAUUUGAUUGAUUAUUAUUUAUAAUAUAAAAGAAUAAUAUAUCUUUUAUAUUAUAAGAAUUUUUUAUACUUUAAAAGUUUAAUGGCAUAAUCUUGCUUUACUGUUUGACUUACAAGUCUAUCAGUCGCGUAAGCGGGGCAUAUGAUCACAAGAUGCAGAAAGGAAAGGUCUUGGAUUAGUCUGAACCAUUUUGAGAAAAAUGGAAAUAAAAGAAAACUUUUAUGAUAACAUAAAUUGAACAGGCUUAUAUGCGCAAGAGAGUACAAAUUGAGUGCGCUGUUUGGCACCUCGAUGUCGGCUUAGCUCAUCCACAUGAAUGCAGAAAUCAUGAAGGGUUCGACUGUUCGUCGAUUAAAGAGCUACGUGAGCUGGGUUUAAUACGUCGUGAGACAGUAUGGUUUCUAUCUUCUAGGGGAAAUUAGAGUAAACAUUAGAUAAUCCCUUCGUACGAAAGGAGUUGGGAAUAUUGAUCUAUGGUUUACCUGUUGUUUAUAUAGAUUUUAUUAAUACUUUCACUAAAGUAUCUUAAUAUAUUAAGCAUGGCAGGAAAGCUAAGUCAGUUAUAGAUAAGUGCUGAAAGCAUAUAAGCACGAAGCUUACUAUUAGAUACUCUUAUAAUAAACGUAAUAGAAUAUUACGUAUUUAUUUUUAUAGGCUUUAAUUGUAAUAAUUUUAAUUAUUUUUAGAUAUAAAGUACUAAUUGUUAAA